ACGGAAGGCAGCAGUGAGGAAUAUUGGUCAAUGGGCGGAAGCCUGAACCAGCCAAGUCGCGUGAAGGAUGAAGGUAUUAUGUAUUGUAAACUUCUUUAGUCGUAGAGAAAUAAGGUGCUCGUGAGCACUGAUGCUAGUAUACGAAGAAUAAGGAUCGGCUAACUCCGUGCCAGCAGCCGCGGUAAUACGGAGGAUCCGAGCGUUAUCCGGAUUUAUUGGGUUUAAAGGGUGCGCAGGCGGCUUUUUAAGUCAGUGGUCAAAUCGUGGGGCUCAACCCCAUCCCGCCAUUGAUACUGGAGAGCUUGAUUGCGGUCGAGGUUGGCGGAAUUCGUCGUGUAGCGGUGAAAUGCAUAGAUAUGACGAAGAACACCGAUUGCGUAGGCAGCUUACCAAGCCGUAAAUGACGCUCAUGCACGAAAGUGCGGGGAUCGAACAGGAUUAGAUACCCUGGUA
rnacentral:rRNA from 1 species